CUAGUACUCCCUCCGUUCGAAAAUACUUGUCAUCAAAAUAAACAAAAAGGGAUGUAUGUAGAACUAAAAUAUAUCUAGAUACAUCCCCUUUUAUUCAUUUUAAUGACAAAUAUUUCCGGACGGAGGGAUUACUAG
rfam:Triticum aestivum genome assembly, contig: Triticum_aestivum_CS42_TGACv1_scaffold_408576_5BL